UGGGUCAUCUGGUCGAGGUCGGUGACGGCGCCGUUGACCGCGCCGAGGCCGAUGCUCUGCUCGUUGGUGGCCGAGC
rnacentral:tRNA from 1 species